UACGUAAGUCCCGAGCGUUGUCCGGAUUUAUUGGGCGUAAAGCGAGCGCAGGUGGUUUAUUAAGUCUGGUGUAAAAGGCAGUGGCUCAACCAUUGUAUGCAUUGGAAACUGGUAGACUUGGGUGCAGGAGAGGAGAGUGGAAUUCCAUGUGUAGCGGUGAAAUGCGUAGAUAUAUGGAGGAACACCGGUGGCGAAAGCGGCUCUCUGGCCUGUAACUGACACUGAGGCUCGAAAGCGUGGGGAGCAAACAGG
rnacentral:rRNA from 1 species